rnacentral:lncRNA from 1 species
UCAGAUCAGAUAAGAACCUCUAAUGUGUGCGACCCUGCAGGUUCAAACCUAAGCCGGUAGCACAGGAAUCAAUUCCUGUACUAAUCGAAGUGACCAUCUAGUAAUGGUACCCGACGAUCGGAUAGGUCGAAUGGUCGCAAUCACAACACUCAGAACCUACGUGAAUAUGGUUACUGUAUAAUUCAUCCUUUUGACCUCUGUGUUUAGGACGACUCAGGGUUAAACUGUCAACCCUGAUCAGAUCAUCCGAAUCGUGCUCAACUCAAACAAUCCUGUGACUCCUCACAAGGACUACCCUGGCCA